rnacentral:rRNA from 1 species
GAUGAACGCUGGCGGCGUGCCUAAUACAUGCAAGUCGAGCGAACGGACGAGAAGCUUGCUUCUCUGAUGUUAGCGGCGGACGGGUGAGUAACACGUGGAUAACCUACCUAUAAGACUGGGAUAACUUCGGGAAACCGGAGCUAAUACCGGAUAAUAUUUUGAACCGCAUGGUUCAAAAGUGAAAGACGGUUUUGCUGUCACUUAUAGAUGGAUCCGCGCUGCAUUAGCUAGUUGGUAAGGUAACGGCUUACCAAGGCAACGAUGCAUAGCCGACCUGAGGGGGUGAUCGGCCACACUGGAACUGAGACACGGUCCAGACUCCUACGGGAGGCAGCAGUAGGGAAUCUUCCGCAAUGGGCGAAAGCCUGACGGAGCAACGCCGCGUGAGUGAUGAAGGUCUUCGGAUCGUAAAACUCUGUUAUUAGGGAAGAACAAAUGUGUAAGUAACUGUGCACAUCUUGACGGUACCUAAUCAGAAAGCCACGGCUAACUACGUG